rnacentral:rRNA from 1 species
CCUACGGGUGGCAGCAGUGGGGGAUAUUGCACAAUGGGGGAAACCCUGAUGCAGCGACGCCGCGUGUGGGAAGACGGUCCUCUGGAUUGUAAACCACUGUCCCCAGGGACGAAGAUGACGGUACCUGGGGAGGAAGCUCCGGCUAACUACGUGCCAGCAGCCGCGGUAAUACGUAGGGAGCGAGCGUUGUCCGGAAUUACUGGGUGAAAAGGGAGCGUAGGCGGGACUGCAAGUUGGGGGUCAAAUCUACCGGCUCAACCGGUAGCCGCACUCAAAACUGCAGUUCUUGAGUGAAGUAGAGGCAGGCGGAAUUCCUAGUGUAGCGGUGAAAUGCGGAGAUAUUAGGAGGAACACCAGUGGCGAAGGCGGCCUGCUGGGCUUUUACUGACGCUGAGGCUCGAAAGUGUGGGGAGCAAACAGGAUUAGAUACCCCAGUAGUC